GUUUAGAAACAAAGCUGGAAACCCCCAGCCAAAAUCGCCAUCAAAAUAAGGGGGUCCUCAUGCAUGGUG